rnacentral:rRNA from 1 species
UACGUAGGGGGCAAGCGUUGUCCGGAUUUAUUGGGCGUAAAGAGCGUGUAGGCGGUUAGGUAGGUCCGUUGUGAAACUCGAGGCUCAACCUCGAGACGCCGAUGGAAACCAUCUGACUAGAGUCCGGAAGAGGAGAGUGGAAUUCCUGGUGUAGCGGUGAAAUGCGCAGAUAUCAGGAAGAACACCCGUGGCUAAGGCGGCUCUCUAGUACGGUACUGACGCUGAGACGCGAAAGCGUGGGGAGCGAACAGG